CAAUGGGGCCUGUGGGAGCGCCGCGACGAAGGUCGCAGGAGUUCCUGGGCGGCGCUCGAGCCCACUGCACACAGGCAGCGGAACACACUGAAUGGGCACAGCGCGUCGCUUUCCUCCAUGGAAUCGGAGGGGGAAGUCCCGAGGCCCGUGCGACACUCCACACACUCGCUCAACGAUAAUGAUCUCGCGAAGGACUUCGAGAAGGUGACAGCCGCGCUUAGGGCGGGCGGAGUGGCCGCGGCGCCGCCGCAUCCC